rnacentral:rRNA from 1 species
AUUGAACGCUGGCGGCAGGCCUAACACAUGCAAGUCGAGCGGUAGCACAGAGAGCUUGCUCUCGGGUGACGAGCGGCGGACGGGUGAGUAAUGUCUGGGAAACUGCCUGAUGGAGGGGGAUAACUACUGGAAACGGUAGCUAAUACCGCAUAAUGUCGCAAGACCAAAGUGGGGGACCUUCGUGCCUCAUGCCAUCAGAUGUGCCCAGAUGGGAUUAGCUAGUAGGGGGGGUAAUGGCUCACCUAGGCGACGAUCCCUAGCCGGUCUGAGAGGGUGACUAGCCUCACUGGGACGGAGACACGGUCCAGACUCCUACGGGAGGCAGCAGUGGGGAAUAUUGCACAUUGGGCGCAAGCCUGAUGCAGCCAUGCCGCGUGUGUGAAGAAGGCCUUCGGGUCGUAAAGCACUUUCAGCGGGGAGGAAGGCGGUGAGGUUAAUAACCUCAUCGAUUGACGUUACCCGCAGAAGAAGCACCGGCUAACUCCGUGCCAGCCGCCGCCGUAA